rnacentral:rRNA from 1 species
UAGUGGCGAACGGGUGAGUAACACGUGAGUAACCUGCCCUUGACUCUGGGAUAAGCGCUGGAAACGGCGUCUAAUACCGGAUACGAGCUUCAGCCGCAUGGCUAGGAGUUGGAAAGAAUUUUGGUCAAGGAUGGACUCGCGGCCUAUCAGCUAGUUGGUGAGGUAAUGGCUCACCAAGGCGACGACGGGUAGCCGGCCUGAGAGGGUGACCGGCCACACUGGGACUGAGACACGGCCCAGACUCCUACGGGAGGCAGCAGUGGGGAAUAUUGCACAAUGGGCGAAAGCCUGAUGCAGCAACGCCGCGUGAGGGACGACGGCCUUCGGGUUGUAAACCUCUUUUAGUAGGGAAGAAGCGAAAGUGACGGUACCUGCAGAAAAAGCACCGGCUAACUACGUGCCAGCAGCCGCGGUAAUACGUAGGGUGCAAGCGUUGUCCGGAAUUAUUGGGCGUAAAGAGCUCGUAGGCGGUUUGUCGCGUCUGCUGUGAAAUCUGGGGGCUCAACCCCCAGCCUGCAGUGGGUACGGGCAGACUAGAGUGCGGUAGGGGAGAUUGGAAUUCCUGGUGUAGCGGUGGAAUGCGCAGAUAUCAGGAGGAACACCGAUGGCGAAGGCAGAUCUCUGGGCCGUAACUGACGCUGAGGAGCGAAAGCAUGGGGAGCGAACAGGAUUAGAUACCCUGGUAGUCCAUGCCGUAAACGUUGGGAACUAGAUGUGGGGACCAUUCCACGGUCUCCGUGUCGCAGCUAACGCAUUAAGUUCCCCGCCUGGGGAGUACGGCCGCAAGGCUAAAACUCAAAGGAAUUGACGGGGGCCCGCACAAGCGGCGGAGCAUGCGGAUUAAUUCGAUGCAACGCGAAGAACCUUACCAAGGCUUGACAUAUACCGGAAACGGCCAGAGAUGGUCGCCCCGCAAGGUCGGUAUACAGGUGGUGCAUGGUUGUCGUCAGCUCGUGUCGUGAGAUGUUGGGUUAAGUCCCGCAACGAGCGCAACCCUCGUUCUAUGUUGCCAGCACGUUAUGGUGGGAACUCAUAGGAGACUGCCGGGGUCAACUCGGAGGAAGGUGGGGAUGACGUCAAAUCAUCAUGCCCCUUAUGUCUUGGGCUUCACGCAUGCUACAAUGGCCGGUACAAAGGGCUGCGAUACCGUAAGGUGGAGCGAAUCCCAAAAAGCCGGUCUCAGUUCGGAUUGAGGUCUGCAACUCGACCUCAUGAAGUCGGAGUCGCUAGUAAUCGCAGAUCAGCAACGCUGCGGUGAAUACGUUCCCGGGCCUUGUACACACCGCCCGUCAAGUCAUGAAAGUCGGUAACACCCGAAGCCAGUGG